UACGGAUGGUGCAAGCGUUAUUCGGAAUCACUGGGCAUAAAGAGCACGUAGGCGGCUGCGUAAGUCAGUGGUGAAAUCCCUCGGCUCAACCGAGGAACUGCCAUUGAUACUGCGUGGCUAGAGUGUGGGAGGGGCAGACGGAAUUCCAGGUGGAGCGGUGAAAUGCGUAGAUAUCUGGAGGAACGCCGGAGGCGAAAGCGGUCUGCUGGCCCACGACUGACGCUGAGGUGCGAAAGCUAGGGGAGCAAACAGG
rnacentral:misc_RNA from 1 species